rnacentral:rRNA from 1 species
CCCUUAGAUGUCCUGGGCCGCACGCGCGCUACACUGACAUGUUCAACAAGCCUCCUAGUUCGACAGGAUUUGGGAAAUCUUUGAACGCAUGUCGUGAUAGGGAUAGAUCAUUGCAAUUAUUGAUCUUGAACGAGGAAUUCCUAGUAAACGCGAGUCAUCAGCUUGUGUUGAUUACGUCCCUGCCCUUUGUACACACCGCCCGUCGCUCCUACCGAUUGAAUGUUCCGGUGAGCUCUUCGGACUGCGCGGUCUGCAGUUUCUGCGUUCCGUGCGGAAAGUUGCGCAAACCUUAACAUUUAGAGGAAGGAGAAGUCGUAACA